AGCGAACGCUGGCGGCAGGCCUAACACAUGCAAGUCGAACGAACCCUUCGGGGUUAGUGGCGGACGGGUGAGUAACACGUGGGAACGUACCUUUAGGUUCGGAAUAACUCAGGGAAACUUGUGCUAAUACCGAAUGUGCCCUUCGGGGGAAAGAUUUAUCGCCUUUAGAGCGGCCCGCGUCUGAUUAGCUAGUUGGUGAGGUAAUGGCUCACCAAGGCUACGAUCAGUAGCUGGUCUGAGAGGAUGACCAGCCACAUUGGGACUGAGACACGGCCCAAACUCCUACGGGAGGCAGCAGUGGGGAAUCUUGCGCAAUGGGCGAAAGCCUGACGCAGCCAUGCCGCGUGGAUGAUGAAGGUCUUAGGAUUGUAAAAUCCUUUCACCGGUGAAGAUAAUGACUGUAGCCGGAGAAGAAGCCCCAGCUAACUUCGUGCCAGCCGCCGCAGUAAGAC
rnacentral:rRNA from 1 species